CACAAUACUAAGCACAGUCAAAAGCAAUACUAAAGCAUGUCAUCUCAUGAGAAGGGAGGCAGGAAUAGAAAAGCCAAGACUCAGGCAUUAAAAGGACCUUUGUUUCACACUGAGUUCUGCUUAUUACUACCUGGGACGCUCAGCUGAAUUCCCGAACCUUUGUUUCCUCAUUCAUAAGAUGCAGGUAACGCCAGUGGCAUGGAUUUGUUAGGAAAAUUGAACAGCACCAAGGCCGUCAGAUUGCCCUGCCCAGGACUGGCAGAGGCAGGUGCUCAGACAUGGCUUCUUCUGGACCUUUUUCUAGAUCUAUGGGGACAUGCAAAGUAGCCCGGGGGUCCUGUGGCCCGUUACCCUGACCUGUCUUCAUCUGCUGCAUCACUGUGGUUCACUCACCUGUUUGCAUGAACCGCAGCAAACUGGAAAGGCCCUAGUCUUCUGAUUUCGCCACAUAAAUAUAAGCACAGGCUCUUUCAGAUCCACACCUUGGUCUUUGAGACUUCCGGAGCUUUUCGACAGCUCUGCAGGCACUAUGGCAAGUGCAGACUCACUCAGUGGAUGCAAACUUUUGAGAUGGGAGGUGUGUGUGGGAAUUGAGGGUAUGGGGGAUGGUGUCUAUUAGACAUUUUCUUUGUGCUUUCAGCUUUGUGCUUUAUCCUUGCAAGCCUUUAUCCUGAGGCUUGUAGAGGUCAGUGAUUGGCCCAGCAUAGCAUGUGUAGUAGGUGGCAGAUGCACAUGAUAACAAGUUCAAGGAGAGCUCAUUUGGGGAGACCAGUAGUAUCAGAAGACACCUCUUACAUUUUGAAAUCUGUAUCAGAGAAUAGUGUGAAGGGCUCGCUAAACUCCUCCGAAAGAUGGAGCCCUAGAACAGAGGGCCUAUGGCUUUCGGCCAUUGUCAUCUUUGUGGUGAGUUUAAACAGGAUAUUGAAUAAAGCCCCUGGCACGUAUUAGGCAUCUAAGAGAUAGGAGUCCUGUGAGUCAGUACAGCCAGUCUUAAACAUGGUGGUUUUCUUGCUUGAGGACACAAGGUAGGGGUACACUUCCUUGCUUCCCCCUACGAUUGGCUUUGGCCAGUGGCAGUAAAAGUGACGGAUGUCACUUCCAAAGAGCCAGGCCUCCACCCUGGCUGCUUCCCCAAGCUCCGGCAGCCAAGGGAACAAUGUCCACAUGGAGCCUCUCGGGUCCCUGAGUGAACGCAGUCCACAGAGCUUUCCCGCUGAUCCUUACUGAAUGCGGGAGGUGGGGGUCUUGAGGAAGGAGGUGUAGUUGUGUUACAUCACUAUGACCUUGGGAUUAUUUGUUACUGCAGCAGAACCUAGCCUAUCUUGUCCGAUACACACCUUUUCUUUCUCAUCAAACUUUACACCAGGGUUGUUUUAUUCAUCCGCAUAUGCCUGCCUGUGGCUUCACCCUCCUUCCAAAUGUGCUACAGGCUCACUUGCAUGCUAAGACGGGUUCAAAGCACAACAAAAACCACUGCGUGGCACAGAGGGGGUGUCCUGCUCCAGUAAACCAAUCACCCCAACACCCAGCCCCGAACUUGCUCAGAGUUUUCUCCAAGGCACCAUGGGAGCCCUGUGGAGUUCUUGUUUAACUCCCUGGCAACUUUUCUGUAUUUGCAGAGCAAGAUCUUUUGCCAGAUGGCUAACAUGUUCAUGCUCCUAUUUCGUUUUAAUGCAAACUGACAUUUCUCCAUCUUCCCGCGGUGGGUUUCUUUUAUGAGGUCGUGCAUGGCUUUUUCAUAGAAAGAAUUUCUGACUCCCCAUCAGGAGCCCACCCUGCAGUUUCUGUGGGGGCUGGAUUGGUUAACCACUCGCUUCAGUUUUUAAGGCGCCACGGGCAGAACCAGACCGCCGUGAACUUCUUGAUUUACACUGUGGUGGAGAGUGUCUGAGAAGACAGGGAGAAACAGGAAGCGGCUGUUUCAGGAGCCCCAAGGAGAUCUGGGCCACAAGCCCCCGGGGGUCCUUGGCCUUCAGAGGGCCAGUUCGAAGCACGCAGUGAAUAUUUGCAAAAGUUUUCUCUUUUUUUUUAUGAUUUCUUUAUAUAUAUAUUUUUUUCUUCUGUACAGCAUGAUGGCCCAGUUACACUUACAUGUAUACAUUCUUUUUUCUCACAUUACAUGUUCCAUCAUAGACAGAGUUCCUAGUGCUACACAGCAGGAUCCCAUGGCUAAUCCAUCCUGAAGGCAACAUUCCACAAAUAGUUUUCUGAUUCCUAGUAAAGCGCCUGAGAUGGACACGGACUCCCUGUGUUCAGAGCUUCCCAUAUGGGGGUGUAAAGCCAAAUACAGGUAUUUUGCAGGGAUCAAUAAAUAAUACCAAAAGGGAGUCAUGAAAUUGAAAAGCAGUAUGGAAUAAUAAAAAUCAAAUAAUUCCUCAGUGAGGUUCUGCUGUACAGCACAGGAUACUAUAUCCAAUCACUUGUGAUAGAACAUGACAGAAGAUAAGAUGAGAAAGAGAAUGUAUAUAUUAUAUGUGUAUAUGUGUGUAUAAUGGGGUCACUUUGCUGUACAGCAGAAAUGGACAGAACAUUGCAAAUCUAUAAUAAAAAAAACUUGUUUAAAUAAAAAAUUUAAAAAGUAAUAAUAAUAAAAAGUCAUAAAAAUAAAAUAAUUCCUCGACGAGAUCCUGCUCUGCAGCCCAGGGAACCGUAUCCAGUCUCUUGGGCUAGAUCACGAGGGAAGAUAAUAUAAGAAAGGGAAUGUACAUAGAUGUGUGACUGCGUCACUUUGCCGUAGAGCAGCAAUGGGCACCACAUUGUAAAUCGGCUAUAAUGAAAAAAAAUGCCUGAAAGAAAGAGUGCCAUCAGCUUAUAUUAAACAGUUUGUAAACACGAUCUUUUUUAUCCUCCCAGUCGUCCCAUGAGUUGGGAUUGCUGCUUUUUCUAUCAAGAAUAAAGGGGUGUAGGGUAAGUGACAUAAAAUCAGACAUGCUUCCCUUGCUCAUCCGUCUGCGGAUUUGCUCGUAUACUGAUCUACGAAUAGGUCUGAACGUACAGUCGAAGAACAGGGAAGGGACGCAUGCGCGUGCGCGUGCGCCCUCUUCCCCCCCCCCCCCCCCCCCGCCCCCCACAGCUGACCUUGAGAAUGAUGUUGGUUCUCUUCUCUUUCCAAACCGCAUUCUCUGGGUCUCGCCAGUCCUCCCAGUGACCCACACCAGCCCGCCGCAGGCGGGGUCAUCCUAUGCUGACCCCUAUGGCCAAGGAAGUGAAGUGGGGUUGAGUCAGGUCUUAACCCUUGGUGUGUCAAUGGUACUUUUCCCUGGCCUGGGAGGCUCCCGUUGGGCGGUCUACACUGCUGAGCUUUGGGAAAGAGCUUCUCAGCCUCCCGGCUCCUCGGGCAGCUGUGCGCACGGGUUCAGGUUAUGCAUUUCUCUCCUUUUGGCUUCACCACAUAGAAACCUCACUCGCUAAACAGAAACUCUGCUGGAAAUGUUGCUUUCUCUGUGUAACUUGAUUCCACUCGAGGAUUGGUCGGGGAAAGUGAUCCAAAUAGAACUCAUUUUUAAAUUUGGAUUACAGCGUUAUAUCAUCUGGAUAAUAAGUGUUUGGAUCUCAAAAAAUAUAUUCUCUUCUACACUGAAUUACUUAAUAAUGACAGUUCCCCAGCUGUCAGAAGGGAUUCAGAAGUAUCAGCAGACAGAGUGUCAGUAAAAAAAAGAAAUGAACGUUCUGUAUUGAGGCCAGUUCUCCACAAUCUUCAAAAUAGUCACAUGACCAACUUUGUUCUCUUUGAGACUGCGAAAAUUUCCAGCGUGCAGUGGAUAAUAAAUAUUAGUGCCCUUCUCCAAGAAGGUAAGGCUGCUUUCCAGUCUUCCAGUUUUAUUGGCAGAACUCCGAAGAUGAGUAGCAAAAAUGCACAUUUGAGGUUUUCAUUGCAUAUUACUGUUGCUGUUCGUCUAACUUGGUUGGUAAACAGGGGUCCCACUGGGGCAAGGAGCCCUGUGGGUCUGGCUCUGGGGUGCUUGGCAGCCCCUGAGCUGCCUCACUUUGCCUCGGUGGGUGAUGCAAAGGCUCACCCCGCAGAUGGGAGCAGGUUCUUCCUGGGCCACCGACCGUAUGCAGAGUGAGAGAAACGACAGCAUAAAGCAGUGCAGCACUCUCUCUGGGGGUUUCUGUGUGAAAGUAAAAGGGGUUUUCUAACUUGAUCCUGGGGAGACCACUUUAGUUUCCUUUUUUCUCAUGAAAACAUCUAAGAGGGUCUCCUUUCACUUCCCAAACGUGUGGUCCCCACCUCUAGGACUGCCCAGGACUUGAGCGUCACAAUCAGUACCUACCGUGGGCUGCUAAGCCUACCUCAGGUGUACUCCCAGCAUCCCAGGAGAAUUCACAGCCGUCGUGCCACAAAGGACAGUGUCACUGGAAGCCCAGGGCACAAUCGGACCUCUUUUAAAGCUAUACCUACUUAACGAUCACUUUUUUUCCCAAAGGAUGCUUUGUGUUGAACUUACUUAAAAGGGCGUGGGGGGGGGGAUCCUGAUGUUUAAUGAGAGGAGCAAAUGAUUAACUCAGAGCAUCAACUAUAGCUGUUAUUAGGAAUGGAACCAAUCAUGUUUUACCUGAAUUGGAACCCAUUCAUGUCCCUUGUUUUAGAUAAUUCAUACCUUCCCCCAUGUUUGCUAUUAGCGCCCCCUCCCAAGAAAGCAGGUGCCACUUUUCAUCCGGAAGACAGCCUGUAGUGGGUACACUGGCAGCGCUGCUGGGUCCUAGCCGUGUGACAGAUCUCUGCCCCCCUUUUAAGAUUUUUUACUCGUGUUAGACACAGAGCUAUUAGUUACCCCUCUUACAAGAUUCUCUCGAUGAUUGGAAAAUAAUGUUUAUAAAGCUUUGGUCCUAAGUUACAUUAUCACGAAUAGUCAAGGUAGCAAUAUUUACGAAGAAAAACAGGAAUUACUUCUUCAAGUGGAUCCCGCUUCUCUAGAUCUUUCCAGCCCCUCACAUCGUCAGCCCUGGGUGAACAGGUGACCAGUCGGGCUUCCUCUUAUCCCGGCAGGAAGGCUGUUUAGAGAAGGAAUAUUUUCCCACUUUGGGGUUGUUCUUUCUUCGUGGCCCUGUCAUCGUGCUGCAUGUGGGGGCGGCUCACCUGGGGGCUCGGGUGCCUGAGAAAAGGAGUGAAAACACCCAACUGUGAAAACCCAAGAGAAACCGAAAGACGUGAAGGCUGGAAAAAAAAAAGAGCUUCUUCAGGACUGAGGCGGUUAAGGAGCUGGCCUCGACAGGAAGUGGGCAGGAGGCUGUUUUCAGUACGCUCAUGGGAACAGAGUUGGAAAGUGCUGUGGUGAGUGUGUGUGUGGAAAAAAAACAAGGGCCUUAAUCAAGCUAUAAAUAUCUGUUUCUUUGAAGUUUUAUGACCAACAAUCACUGUUAGUGGAAGGCACAGACAGAGCUGUUUCUUGACUUGGAGGGUCUGAGUGGGGCUCAGGCUAAGGUCUUCUCCUCUUGGAUGCUGUCACUGCCCACGCUCUGUGUGUGUGUGUGUGUGUGUGUGUGUGUGUGUGUGUGUGUGGUCUACCAUGUCACAUGUGUGUCUCAGAGCACCCGCAGUCUCAAUUUCUACCGCCAUGCCUUCUGUAUUUUGCUUUGGUCAUGGUUCAUUAAUGGUUCUCCAGGGCCCUCAGUGUGGAAGCUCGUUCAGUGCCAUGAACAAGCCAAACCCCUGCCCACAGGCAGCUUUCAUUCUAGUUGGAGAAAGGGGUAUUAAGCCAAACAGGACACAUCCGGGAAAGAACAGUGCCGUCAAGGUAAUCCACACUUGGAGGACAGAGGAUGGAAAGACGAGGCUAUGAGCAUCGAGACAAGUCUCUCUGAUGAGCUGCCGGCAAACAGAAACCUGCCUACAUAGGGGAUUGUAGGGGAAAGCACGUACCAAGGUCCUGGGGCAGGUGCAUGCUCAGCAGGGCUCAGGAGCGCCAUUGAAGCCAGUGGGGACCCAGCAGCCCUUCUCAGAGAAGGCACAGGAGGAGCCGGCUGUGUCCUACUUUGGAGGUCUCUGGAAGAACCUGGAAACACGGAGGCCCUCCAGAGUUCUCUUUGGUCCUGCCUAAGACCUACUUACUGCCCAUUCUGUAACAGUACCCCCCGCCAACUUUCCUUUUCCUGGAAAACAAAAACAGUGCAAAACACACAGAAACACAAACAACUUUAGUAGAUAGGACAACUUUGUUUUUUUCUUUUUCUUUUCUUCCUUCUUUCCUUCCUUUCCUUCCUUCCUUUCCUUCCUUUCUUUCCUUCCUUCCUUCCUUCCUUCCUUCCUUCCUUCCUUCCUUCCCUCUCUCUCUCUCUCUCUCUCUUUCUUUCUUUCUCCUAUGCUCACCUGUUGCUAUGAAGUCCUUCCACUGCUUUUGUGAGCAGAAGUGAAAUUAAAGGCUGGCCAACGGGAACAACAUAGCACUGCUCCCCCACAGGGCGCCUUUGGUGCCCAGUCUUCAUUCAUUUUGGGGGGAAUUUAUGAUCCUUUUGAUUCAGGACUUGACUUGAGGUUCAUGAGGAGAAAGGGUUUACUAAGAAAGAAGACUCCAGAACAAUCUGGAGAUGGCUAUGCUUUAUGAGAAAGCAGGUGUAAAGUACCCUGGGACACUGUAGAAAUUCCUCCUUCAAGGUGUUUUUACCUUUGCUUUAAGCAGCUCACCUGAGAACUUGGGUAGGUAAAAGUUGGUUUUCUGAAUGAGGGGUUUCUGCACAUUCUUGACAGCAUUUUAUUUUAUUUUAUUUUAAAGCAAAUGCAUCAUCCAACUCAGCUUCCCUUGCAGGUCGUUGGAGUUAGGGAGGUUGGUCGUGUGCGAGAGAGUUUUGCUCCUUUGUUUGCUUGGGUGCAGGGAGCUGUUUAUGACGAAUGGGAUUCAUUACAUGGGUGUUUAGCCUACCUCUUAUUAAGGCUUUAACAAUAUUAAAAUUCAAAGAGCCAACAGAGAGGGAAGCCUUUGGGGAUGAGGAAUCAAUUGUGUUGGCUUCUUGGAAACAGGACGGUUUGGGCAGCCACCUCACCUGUCCUUUAUUUAACGUGAGUCGAGCUACAGACCAUGUCACUUUGCUCCUGCGUCACCAUCUUAUUGGGAGGGAUGUGAACCUACAUUCAGCCCAGUCUCACCACCACCCGACCCGUCAGGUGGCAUCUCCCAGGCAUCCUGCCCUCUUUCCUCUGCAGCUGGGUCUCUGAGUGGCAGCAGCAGUUAAGGGAAGAAGCUGGCUGCUUUGGGUCCUUUGGCCUGAUCUCAUUCGGUCUAGUGAUGUCCUUUGUCCUUUAAAGGGAAUGGUUGGUGGGGAAACAGGUUGAUGCACCCAUCGGGAGCGUGAUUUCCCCAGGCAGGACUGGACGCAAUGAAGGCAGGUCCGGGAGCUCUCUCUGGAAUGAAUUUUCUUUAAAAUACAUCCCGCAGUGGCUCCCUGGCCCCGUAGGAGACUCGGAGUCUGGGCUUCAUCCCAGUGCACCUCCCACCCUCACCGAUAGCCAUAGGUCCUGUGGCCCUAAAAUAAAAAGUAUAAUGCGAUCUUCUGCUUCCUGUGUAGCAGUUCACCAGCUGUGAAGAAAGACGCUGAGAUAUUGGUGAAUUCGCCGUGAUAGAGCCAUUCAGUAGUCUACUCUCCACACCAAGGAAAAGAAUGACACUUUCUCAAGGGGAAAAAAAAAAAAA
rnacentral:lncRNA from 1 species